AGAGUUUGAUCCUGGCUCAGGAUGAACGCUGGCGGCGUGCUUAACACAUGCAAAGUCGAACGGAGUUUUUAAACGGAAGUUUUCGGAUGGAAGUUUAGAAACUUAGUGGCGGACGGGUGAGUAACGCGUGGGUAACCUGCCUCAUACAGGGGGAUAACAGUUAGAAAUGACUGCUAACACCGCAUAAUAUAGCGAAACCGCAUGAUUUUUGCUAUCAAAUAUUUAUAGGUAUGAGAUGGGCCCGCGUCUGAUUAGCUAGUUGGUGGGGUAAAAGCCUACCAAGGCGACGAUCAGCAGCCGGCUUGAGAGAGUGACCGGCCACAUUGGGACUGAGACACGGCCCAAACUCCUACGGGAGGCAGCAGUGGGGAAUAUUGGACAAUGGGGGAAACCCUGAUCCAGCCGACGCCGCGUGAGUGAAGAAGUAUUUCGGUAUGUAAAGCUCUAUCAGCAGGGAAGAUAAUGACAGUACCUGACUAAGAACGCCCCGGCUAACUACGUGCCAGCCGCGGC
rnacentral:rRNA from 1 species